rnacentral:lncRNA from 1 species
UUCUUAAUGAAAGAGGAACCCAGAAUUCCCAAUUUUCAUUCUUUAUUCAAAGCUCCGACGAGCUCAACGACGACCAUGGAAGCAAUAAGUCCAGCAUGUUUCAAUUCGAUUCUUUCAUCCAAGAAGGUAAGGAAUAGCUUUCCACUACUAGAGUAACUAAUUGGCCCAACAAUCAAUCCAAAUUAACUCUUCAUUUUCUCUGAUUACAUUUUCGACAGGAGUUGCGUCGAAUUAUUUCAGACGAGCCGAUGCUUCAUAACGGAUCUCAUUAGAUUCGUGGCGAUCCGAGGAAUCUUACCGUAUCAUUUCUUUCCAUUUUCAUAUGGUUUUGUGGCUGAUCGAGGGUCGUCGGAAUAGAAGCUCGGUCGCCAGAGCUAAUCCUUGUAAAUUAGAGAAGAUGAUGGUAAACUUCCAUUUUAGUCCCCCAAGUUUUAUUUUCCAGUUUAUUCCUUAUAGUUUCAGUAAUAUCCUGCGUAACCAGUAACUUUUAAAUAUGAAAAGCCGUGGCCCAGGAACUUUCCAGGCAUUACAUUUUAGCCCGUAAAGUUAUGAAAGUGACGUAAUUGGCCCAUUCUUGGACCGUGAACCUAUAUUUUGAACCCAACUCGAUUCACCCAAGGUUGGUUGGUUUAAGGUGUCCGCUUUGAAUAAUUAAUUUAAUGAUUGGUUAUGUCAAUUAUGCUUCCUUUCGCAUGGAUAACAAGUGAAUUGAAUAUGUGCGAUGUGGCUACGUGACCAUAUCAAGUGUACAUGAUUUAUUGACCAUAUGUCCUGAUAAAUGUGGUGUGGGUAUGAUAUGUCAGAUUGGAUAUGUGAUACGAGAAGUGUUAAGCUAGUUAGAGUUAAUGUCUAUGGGAUAUUAAUGGAAAUUGUUUGAUCACCUAGAUUAGGGCCCGUAUGCUGGUGAUCUACUUUUGUGCAUAUUGCACUACUACUACGUGUAUAUGGCCCCAAAUGGGUGCGCAUAAUGGGCACUUGAUGGUGCCACCAAUGCUACAUGUAUAUGACCCCGAGUGGGUGCUGCCGUAUUAGUAAUGUGUAUAUGGACACUUAAUGGUGCCACCAAUGAUAAGUGCAAGCCCGGGAAUCGUUAACAUACGUGAGCUAGGGAUCCCAACUAAAAUAUGUAAAAAGGCUGAGUCAUAUUGGUUAUCUGUUUGAUGAUUGUGAUCUAUAUUGUGAUUAAUGAGGACUGACCCCGAGCCACCCACCAGAUGUUUACAGGUUAACAUGGACUAGCUAUGAUCGAUCGUCGGUGUUUCUGUGUCCAAGCUAAAGUUAAGAGGGUUGUGAGGUUGUGGGACUUGGAACUUGGUUCCCUCACUGGUUUGAAUAUAUAUGCGAG